GAUGAACGCUGGCGGCGUGCCUAAUACAUGCAAGUCGAGCGAACGGACGAGAAGCUUGCUUUUCUGAUGUUAGCGGCGGACGGGUGAGUAACACGUGGAUAACCUACCUAUAAGACUGGGAUAACUUCGGGAAACCGGAGCUAAUACCGGAUAAUAUUUGAACCGCAUGGUUCAAAAGUGAAAGACGGUCUUGCUGUCACUUAUAGAUGGAUCCGCGCUGCAUUAGCUAGUUGGUAAGGUAACGGCUUACCAAGGCAACGAUGCAUAGCCGACCUGAGAGGGUGAUCGGCCACACUGGAACUGAGACACGGUCCAGACUCCUACGGGAGGCAGCAGUAGGGAAUCUUCCGCAAUGGGCGAAAGCCUGACGGAGCAACGCCGCGUGAGUGAUGAAGGUCUUCGGAUCGUAAAACUCUGUUAUUAGGGAAGAACAUAUGUGUAAGUAACUGUGCACAUCUUGACGGUACCUAAUCAGAAAGCCACGGCUAACUACGUGCCAGCAGCCGCGGUAAUACGUAGGUGGCAAGCGUUAUCCGGAAUUAUUGGGCGUAAAGCGCGCGUAGGCGGUUUUUUAAGUCUGAUGUGAAAGCCCACGGCUCAACCGUGGAGGGUCAUUGGAAACUGGAAAACUUGAGUGCAGAAGAGGAAAGUGGAAUUCCAUGUGUAGCGGUGAAAUGCGCAGAGAUAUGGAGGAACACCAGUGGCGAAGGCGACUUUCUGGUCUGUAACUGACGCUGAUGUGCGAAAGCGUGGGGAUCAAACAGGAUUAGAUACCCUGGUAGUCCACGCCGUAAACGAUGAGUGCUAAGUGUUAGGGGGUUUCCGCCCCUUAGUGCUGCAGCUAACGCAUUAAGCACUCCGCCUGGGGAGUACGACCGCAAGGUUGAAACUCAAAGGAAUUGACGGGGACCCGCACAAGCGGUGGAGCAUGUGGUUUAAUUCGAAGCAACGCGAAGAACCUUACCAAAUCUUGACAUCCUUUGACAACUCUAGAGAUAGAGCCUUCCCCUUCGGGGGACAAAGUGACAGGUGGUGCAUGGUUGUCGUCAGCUCGUGUCGUGAGAUGUUGGGUUAAGUCCCGCAACGAGCGCAACCCUUAAGCUUAGUUGCCAUCAUUAAGUUGGGCACUCUAAGUUGACUGCCGGUGACAAACCGGAGGAAGGUGGGGAUGACGUCAAAUCAUCAUGCCCCUUAUGAUUUGGGCUACACACGUGCUACAAUGGACAAUACAAAGGGCAGCGAAACCGCGAGGUCAAGCAAAUCCCAUAAAGUUGUUCUCAGUUCGGAUUGUAGUCUGCAACUCGACUACAUGAAGCUGGAAUCGCUAGUAAUCGUAGAUCAGCAUGCUACGGUGAAUACGUUCCCGGGUCU
rnacentral:rRNA from 1 species